AGAGAAAGCACUGCUUAUAGAUGAGAAUAUCAAACAUGUCCCGGUUUGUUCUUGUCCGUCUAUUUACGGUUCUAAUGUCUGACUUGAUGAUUGUCCAGUCUCAUACAAAAUGGACAACGAUGGAGCAUAACUAUACAGGAACCUGUGCCACCAGCUACAUCCCAGAUGUGUGUAUAUCUAAUGAGACCAACGAACAAUUAAUUUCUUGUCUGGAGAGGAAAUACAUGGAAGUUUCAAAAGA